AAUAAAUAUUUUCCACAGGCUCUAAACAAACAGUAAUCAGAGCCUUUUUACCUGCCCUGCUUCACAGUUUUAAGUAAAAUAUAGCUGGUGCUGAUUACUUUGAAUCCUCCAGAUGGAGCUCAAACCGUUGUCACUCGGUGGUGCAAAAGCGCACAUGCUCGAUCAGAAGUGCCGAUGUGUGGUGAAGUAGAUGCUAGAUCUUGCAGAGAUAUGAGUUCAGGCAGUUUCAGCUUUUGUAGUCGCAAGCUCCAGUCAGGCUGGUUCGCUGCUUUGCAGUGUAGCAGUUUCCACUGGGUAAUAAUCUUAGUUGUGCAAUACUCAUAAUUAUUUGUUUCGUGGUUUUCACCUAGUGAUAUUUUGUGCAAUGCACCAUUUUUCUGCACUCUAAGAACAAGAAGCUGUCCUGAGGUCCAGAGGAAUGCAUAAACUGAUUCUGGCAGUCACAUUUUCCCCUUUUCUAAUGCGUGGGUUAAAGUUAAAAGCCUGUCUCAAAUUAUUUCCCAUGUGCCUACACAUCACAGUCAUUUUGCCAUGUCACACAGGAAAAGCAAAUGUUACUUAAGCUAUAAACUUACAGCUAACAAUAUCUCACCACUUUAGUAAAGUUGCUCGCAGCAUAUUUGUCACUCGAUCAGCUGGAUUGUCUCAUCGUACGUGUCCCUGCCUUCAUAGACCACAAUGUUAAAAACUAUUCAUUUCACUUCCCAUACCAACAGUGAGCUCUAAAGCUACAGAUCUAAAUGAAGGCGAUGACCUGUGGUUCCUGGAGGAGUAAAUUUCUCAGUAACUAAAAAGUCUAUAGUGGAAAGUAAAAAAAGAUAAGAUAAGACUUGAACAUCAUCCUGUCCCAAUUUGGUGUUUUCCUCUCAAUGACGUGUCUGUGACCACAGUGUCAAUGUGACGCCGAUAUAAGCGACACCAUGCAGGAGAACUGAACCCUUCGGCUGAACCUGAAAGAGUUACCUCAACGGCUUCUGCGCAGACAAAAGACAUGAGGACCUAUACGAUUAGGUAUUCUACAAUUGUGGCCGCGGCAAUAGUCGCCGUGGUGUACUCAGCAUCAGUGCAACAUUGUAAAGAAAAACGACGCGAUCUGCUGAAGCAUAUUGAGCAUGAGGCUGAGCAUCUUCUGACAAAGGAGCAGGUAAGAAAACUGCAAAUCACAUAAAUUCAAAGGCCUUACUUUUCCAUUUCCUGGUCUGCUCAAGAAUAAAUACACGUGUUUCUUUAAUUUAUAGGACGAAGAAAUUCUGAAUGAGUGGUUGCCAGAAAUAAAAAAUGGACCAUGUAAGGUGUGUUGUAAAUAUUACAUAUCUUGGUUUAUUGUCUCGCUUUCAUGGUGAUCUUUGACAUCUUUCAAGUCAUUCAGACCUGAUGCAAAGUUGAGUUUUCUACUUAGCUAAUAAUGGCACGCUGGAAUCUGUUGUUUUAAUCGUUUAACAUUUUAAUGCGUUACCUUAGUUUCCCAGAAAAUCCUCCACUGCUUUGCUUUUGUUUUGAGUGAGCUAGAAGUUAAAGACCACAGUUGAUUCUCUAAGUCCGACUUCCCAGAUGUUGGCUUCUUUUAAUAUUGUUUUCUUAUACCUCGUAGAAGAACGUCUUCUGUUUGGCGGAGGAGGGUCUUAAGUACCUUGACCAUCACCUUUCUGUGGGAAAUGUACACCACAACAAAUCAAAGUUUCAAGGAGACAAGAAACUAGAGAGGCUCUUGGUACAAUACAACAACAUGACAAACGAUACCAACUGCACACUGAACGAGAACGUAAAAUGUCAACUAGGGAAAUUUCUUAGCGAUUUGAAGACAUGUGCGAGGCAUGCCUGCAACAGCACAGGAUGAGGAGACCCCAUGGCAUAUUAUCAACCUGUCUUAAAGUUAUUUAUUAUUAUGCUAUAUUAAUUUAUGCAUCUUUCCUAUUUAUUCCACAUUUGUAUUAGUUGUUCUGUUUUGUUUUUUAUACGAAAAUAAAUUAACAUGUGACGGUGAAGGUAUUAUGCCAAGUCUUUUUGUUUCUUAUUUUUAGAUGAGCUCGGACCGGGAUCUUUAAGUUAAAGGGCAUCGUUUGUGUUAAUGUAUCCGUUUUCACAAGGAAGCUGUGUGGCCUUCCAUCACACAGCUUUGUGGUAUCACUAAACAACAGGAAUCUGAGCUCAGACUGUCAUGAAUAAUAAUUUAUUAAAUAAAAUACAGAUGUUUGUGGGUGUAAACACUCAACAUAUGCUACGAUAACAAAGGAAAAUCAAUUUUACAUCCAUUAUAGAACAUAAUGUUUUUUUUAAAAAAGUGUUCUACGAGUGCAUGAAACAUACAUCUAUCUAUAUGCAACAACAAGUGUGGAAAUUAAAAAGUUGACUGGAGGGGGGGUUAGAUGGUGGCGACAUAAGAGCUAAACAGCAUGCAUGCUCUUAAUACUUCAGACUUUAAAAAA